UGACUGCACAGAAUACGGGGGGUGGGGAGUGCAUGAGAGAGAGAAAGUGACAGAGAGGGACAGAGAGAGAGAGAGGAAGAACUCUCCGGGGACCUGUGCCUCUGCUAUCAUCCUGCUAUUCCUCAGUCUCUGUGGAUCUGAGCACAUCAUUCCGGACGCUGUUCUCUGCUUCUGUUGGGCACUGAUUGUGUCUCGGCACACAUAACUGGGGCUCCCUCAGAUGCAUCUAAGGCCUAUGUGAGAAACACUGGAUGUUGUGGCAGGGACAGAUUCUCACCCUUUCCUGCUUUGGCUGGGUGGUCUUCCCUGUCUCCAGACAGCCAGGGAAGCCCAGACCCCACACAAGGAGGGAAAACAGGGAGUAUCUACCAGAAGGAGGGCCCCAGCCUUCGGGAAGAGAAGCCAGAAUCAGUCCCAGCCAAGAGAGGUGGGGAUGAAAGCAAGGCUACAGGAGGGGAAGUGACUAACCCAGGAUCCUGCAAGGAAUUGUCACUGGAACUUCACCAGCACCCAGGCUGUCUGACACAGGAACACACACCAGAGAGGGCCUGGAUGCUAUAGAAACUCCUGAUGGGGAGCAGGGUCUUUUCAGGGAAGAGUACUUCAAUAUGGCUACUCUGGGGAGCAGUUUAGGAGCUUCUGCUAAAAAUUAAAAACAGCAUGUGACCCCAGCGAUGCCACUAGAGAAUCACUCACUCCCAGGCACGUGGAGGCCCAUCCCUGCUGGGCAGCGUGUGACCUGAAAAGUGGCAAGCGACCAAAUGUGGAUGGGGGUGGGGAUAAUAAAACAAGCUGUGGCGUGUCUAUCCUCUGCAAUACCGUAUAGCAGAUAAAGAAUUGGGCACAGCAUGGCCUAAUGUCGAAAGUUCUCCAAGAUGUGUUAUUGUUCAGUGAAAUAAAGCCAAGCAAUGCA